AGAGACGAGUCAGAGUUUGAUCCUGGCUCAGGAUGAACGCUGGCGGCGUGCCUAACACAUGCAAGUCGAGCGAGAAACUCAUGACCAAUACUUCGGUUGCGUGAUUGAGCGGAAAGCGGCGGACGGGUGAGUAACGCGUAGGCAACCUGCCCCUUGCAGAGGGAUAGCCUCGGGAAACCGGGAUUAAAACCUCAUAACGCAUCAUGGAGACAUCUUCGAGAUGCCAAAGAUUUAUCGGCAAGGGAUGGGCCUGCGUCUGAUUAGUUAGUUGGUGGGGUAACGGCCUACCAAGGCAGCGAUCAGUAGCCGACCUGAGAGGGUGAUCGGCCACAUUGGAACUGAGACACGGUCCAA
rnacentral:rRNA from 1 species